rnacentral:rRNA from 1 species
CCUACGGGCGGCAGCAGUGAGGAAUAUUGGUCAAUGGACGCAAGUCUGAACCAGCCAUGCCGCGUGCAGGAAGACGGCUCUAUGAGUUGUAAACCGCUGUUGUACGGGGGUAAAAGCAGAUACGCGUAUCUGUCUGAAAGUAUCGUGCGAAUAAGGAGCGGCUAACUCCGUGCCAGCAGCCGCGGUAAUACGGAGGAUUCAAGCGUUAUCCGGAUUUAUUGGGUUUAAAGGGUGCGUAGGCGGUCGGAUAAGUUAGAGGUGAAAUCCCGGGGCUCAACUCCCGAACUGCAUCUGAUACUGUUCGGCUAGAGUGUAGGUGGGGUAGGCGGAAUGUGUGGUGUAGCGGUGAAAUGCUUAGAGAUCA